AACCUUUGCUGUCUUGGAACAGAUCACCACUGCAAGAGGGGAAGUUGCUACUGUGAUGAAUUCUGCCAUGUGGUACCAGACUGCUACCCAGACCACAGUGUCCUCUGCAACCCUCGUAACUCACAUACAGGCCUGAUUCCACCUACAGCAAAGCUGGAUGCUAUGGUUGGCAGAGGCAAACCCUUUGCCUGCACUUCAGGCCAAAGCCGGGAUGUGGCCUAGAUGGUUCCUAAGGUCCCUGACAAUCCUGAGAUCUUGCAUCUUGUCUAUUUCAGGUCAAAGGUGCCUACAUGUUCCUUCUAGCUUUGUUUCCCUGAUGUUCCUUGCCACCUGCUACUCCUCUCUGAGCUACUUUUCCAGGUUCCACAGGGAGAGGUUCAGCUGUCCGUGGUAGACAUGAGGGUAGAGAAUGAGGUGGUUGGGUUCCACUUACCUUUCUAUCAUCUUGCAGUAUGGAUGUCUCUUGACUGGUACCAUGUAGACUUUUGAGGGCACACAGGAGUCUGCAGAGAGAUACUGGGGACAUUGAGUAGCAGCGGUGGGGUUGGGAGGCAGAAAUGAGGACAGGAACAUUUACCUUGUGUUUCUCUCAGCUUCUCAGAUGACCAAGAUGGUGCUGCAGAUGGUGCUGAGGAUGGAGAACCCACCAAGCCCCGCUAGGAGCCACCUAGACUGGAUGUAGAGCAUGCUUUCUCCUGGCUGCGAGUUGUCCCACGUUUGCUUGGCGUUGCCCGGCCUUUUCCAGACUGAACCAAUGUUCAUCUUACAUAUGUUGAUUGAUGUCUCAUGUCUCCCUAAAACGUAUGACCACCUUGGCACAUGUCAGGACAUCCUGAGGCUGUGUCACGGGUGUGCAUCUUC
rnacentral:lncRNA from 1 species